rfam:Gasterosteus aculeatus cont1.001092, whole genome shotgun sequence.
UUUAAAGUGUAAUGUAAGUCGCUUUGGAUAAAAGCGUCAGCUAAAUGACAUGUA